GCUGGGGCUGGGGCUGGGCGGCGUGGAGCUCGCUCGGCCCCGCGAGGGUUAAGCCGUGCCGGCUCCUGCUGCCCGGCUGGCGGCCAGCUGCCUCCAGGGAGAGGCCGGAGCCGCUGCCCGGAGGGACCCGGAGGGACGCCGUCAGCCGGGGGUGCACCUACCUCAGACCCCCUCCCCGCCCCCAUCCCAGCCUCCAGGAGGAGCAGAAAGUGGGGGCUGCGGGUGGGGAGCCCCUGCCAGCUCAGCCCCCGGGGUGGCUGGAGAGCCAGGGGGGCAGCGAGACGCGGAGAUGGCCGAUGAGCCCGCCUGGCUGGACCUGCUGGGCCGGUGGACCUACGGAGUGGACCCCGGUGGGAGAGUCUUCUUCAUCAAUGAUGAGGAAAAGUCAACCAGUUGGGUGCACCCUGGUACGAAAUCCCCCAUCCAGAGUGGAUACUGCUCCAGCCCAGGUUUGCCCAGGGGCUGGGAGAUGGAUUCCACCCGGGAAGGAGCCGUGUAUUUCAUCAA